rnacentral:rRNA from 1 species
GUCAGCUCGUGUUGUGAAAUGUUGGGUUAAGUCCCGCAACGAGCGCAACCCUUAUCCUUUGUUGCCAGCGGUUCGGCCGGGAACUCAAAGGAGACUGCCAGUGAUAAACUGGAGGAAGGUGGGGAUGACGUCAAGUCAUCAUGACCCUUACGAGUAGGGCUACACACGUGCUACAAUGGCAUAUACAAAGAGAAGCGACCUCGCGAGAGCAAGCGGACCUCAUAAAGUAUGUCGUAGUCCGGAUUGGAGUCUGCAACUCGACUCCAUGAAGUCGGAAUCGCUAGUAAUCGU